AGCGAACGUUAGCGGCGCGCCUAACACAUGCAAGUCGCACGAGAAAGGGAGCAAUCCCCGGUACAGUGGCGCACGGGUGAGUAACGCGUAGAUGACCUUCCCUGGAGUGGUGGAUAACCUGCCGAAAGGCGGGCUAAUACAGCAUGGGACCACAUGGUUUUGACCGAGUGGUGAAAGCGGGCCUCUGUUCACAAGCUCGCGCUCUGGGAUGGGUCUGCGUCCCAUCAGCUAGUUGGUGAGGUAAUGGCUCACCAAGGCAUCGACGGGUAGCUGGUCUGAGAGGAUGACCAGCCACACUGGAACUGAGACACGGUCCAGACUCCUACGGGAGGCAGCAGUGGGGAAUCUUGCGCAAUGGGCGAAAGCCUGACGCAGCGACGCCGCGUGGGUGAUGAAGGCCUCGG
rnacentral:rRNA from 1 species